rnacentral:rRNA from 1 species
UUAUACUAGGAUUAGAUCCCCUAUUAUUGAAAAUGUAAAUUUAAAAUGCUAAACUAGUAGUAGUUAUGUUCUUGAAAAUUAAAGAUUUCGGCGGUAUUUUAGUCUUUUCAGAGGCACCUGUUCUAUAAUGAUAUUCCACGAUUUAUUAUUCUUGGAUUAUUAGUUUGCCAUCGUCGUCAGUUGCAUAUCCAAAAGAAAUAGCAUAAUCAAAAUUCCCGAUGAUCAAGAACCUCAGAUCGAGGCUUAAUAAAAGCGGGGGGCGAUGGGUGCCUACAAUGAGAGUAAAAGGAUAAAAUAGCAAAAGUUUAGAUGACAU